rnacentral:rRNA from 1 species
UAAAAAAGUAAAUUUAUUUAUUUGAGUAGUAUUAGUUAUAUUCUUGAAACUAAAAAAAUUUGGCGGUAUUUUAGUCUAUUCAGAGGAACUUGUUUUUUAAUCGAUAAUCCACGAUGUACCUUACUUAAAAUUGUUAUUCAAUCUAUAUAUCGUUGUUAUUAGAAUAUUUUAUAAGAAUAAUAAUUUUCUAUAAUUUUUAUUAAAAUUAAUAUCAAAUCAAGGUGUAGUUUAUUUUUAAGUAUAAAUGAGUUACAAUAAAAUUUAUUUUUUGGAUUUAAAUAUGAAAAAUUUAAUUAAAUUGGAUUUGAUAGUAAAAUUAUAAAGAUAAAUAAUUUGAUUUUAGCUCUAAAAUAUGU